CUUUAGUAAAUUAACAGAUAACUGAACACAGCGUGAGUCACGUCUGGUGGAGGGUGACUGCCGGCCUUUCCUUAGGGGGUGGAAAAGACAACACAGACUUCCAAGGAAUCUCAGCCCUGGGUUCCUCAACAGUGAACGCUCAGACAGAAAUGCAUUUUAAGAAGACAGGAGACAUGCACAGGAAAGGGGAGAACUUACCAGAAACAACUUCCACACUUCGUUUAUUGCUCAUGUAUUUACAGGCCUCAAAUGAAAGAUCUUCUCCAUAAAGCCUCUGUGUGUUCAUCUGAUGCCCGAGAGCUCCACACAGGCAGCGGAGGGCCGAUAUCUGAGCUCUAGGUCUAAGCAAGCAAUCUCUGAAUGGAAGCUCCUGCUAGUAGGCUUGCUGCCUUCCGGCAUGGCACAAUUAUUUCUACUUCUAAACGCUAGAGACACAGACACCCACACCCCUCCCCCAAAAAACACCUCAUCUUGGCCUGACACGGGGGUAGACGUCUGUCAUUACAACUACUACAGAGGCUGAGAUCAGGAGGAUUGUGGUCCCAGGCCAACCCACAAGUAAAAAGUUCACAAGACUCCAUCUGACGGGGCAUGGUGGUUUACAGCUGUGAUCCUAGCUACAGCAGAAAGCAUAAAUAGGAGUAUUACUGUUCGGGCCAGACCAGGGCAAAAAGAAGUUUAACCCUAUCUCAGAAAAGAACCAGAGCAAAAAAAGGGGUAGAAAUAUAUAGCUCCAGUAGCAAG